rnacentral:lncRNA from 1 species
AUGGAUCACGAUUACUCGUUGCCGCAUGCACCGCGUCCUCUCCCCGCACAGCGCAAACGCACAGGCGACCCAGACGACCCAGACGACCCGCGGAGGAAAUGGGACCGAAAGAGAGCGAAGACGAGGGUGAACAUCGGUGCGGCGGCGCUGAGAAGAUGGAGAGAACUUCGCGACGUGCUCGGACUACAGAAAGACUCCGACCUCGCAUGUCUUCUGUUAGACAAUUACCACAAAGGAGAACAAGCCUCGUCAACUCCUAGCAGGAUACGUGGAUUGCCUGUUCAGACCCUCUCAACCGUGUCAACAUCCAGUGACUCACAGCCGGAUAGCGACCACAGCUUUCUGGAGCCUGAAGACCUUUCCAUGGCAGACAUAAAAGAAGAAGCACUAGAUGAAAGGGUUGACUGUAAAGAUCCAGAUGACGACACAUGGGAAACAGCCAGUGAGGACGGAUGUUCUGAUGAGGACUCUAUCCCGUCUAUUAGUCUGAGAUAUUUUCCAAUGGCCUACAAAUAUGGAAAUGGCGAUGGCGGCCCACACUCAAAUACAGAAUACGGGCAGGUGACUUCAUGA